CACGAGGACGCCGACUGACCUCGUUAACUUUGUUUUUCGAGGGAGACACACUUCUAUUUUAUUUUUGAAUUUUUUUUUUUUUUCUUUUAAAUUGUGUGGCUCAAUGUUGUGCAGCGUGCCACUAAAUGUGCCGCUUGGCCUCGGGUUGGCUUUCCUUUGCGGCCAUUGCGGUGUGAGGUUUGGAGCUAAUUGGAGACAGGUGCACUAAUGGCCACCAACAGCAAAAUGGCUUUUCUCUGCAACAGGAGCAGCGUCUCAGCAAAGGGCUCAGGAGUAGCUGGAUGGGAUGAGGAAAAGGAACAAUUCCACACAUCAAAUCAAGAAUAAAGUGGCACACAGAUGAGUUGUCUGUUCAUAAUCUAUCUGCAGAGCGGAUGUAAAGAGUAAACGAGAGGGGGUAGAGUACGGAGCUUUGUGGUUUGCCUUGGUUGACUGUAGCGAUGGAAGGUGGUUGUUUGGUGUUCGCAAGGUCUCAUUUGUAAAGAGGGCAGGGAAAGUGUUUGUAGGUUUGGUUUAUGGUCUUUGCGAAGGAAGAGAGGUUGUGAUGGUCUGCAGGUUGUUCGGCUCGUCUUGGUCCAGAGUAGCUUUGUUUUGAGUUGUGAACAGUGCAGCCUUUGAAUGAGGAAUUCAUAUCGCUCAGUAUAAUGUUUCAGGAUGACACAACAGGUAUGCAGUCCCAAGAUAAACAACUUUUUCCUUGAGCCAUCCAGAACAAAGGUGGAAAUGCUGUGGAGUUUCAAGAGCAAAGCACCAACUUUACGGGGAGAGUAUAUCUUAGUUACUCUUAGUGUUUGUGUCCACUUGUUCACUAACUCACUGGGUGUGCACGGACUAACACCAUUUUUUUUGUGCGUGUACUGAGAUGUGCAUCAUGUCAAGGCAACAAUGCUGAAACAUAAUAGUCAACAAAAUGUACUUUUGAAAAAUGUUUUUUUUGUGUGUUGGGUUUUGGAGGGAAUGGUGAAAGUUAUAAAUUUGCUUUGACGACUUGAAUUAAAAUUGUAAAAAUGUUAUGAAGUGGGACGAAAUGGACAAACAUACACAACGUAGAAUAAGAGUUAAAUACAGUGCAAGGCAGUCCCCCCUGACCCCAUUUAGGACUGACAUGACAAGUGACAUAAUGCAGUAAUUACAUUUUUUUUCCUCCCUGUUAUUGCAUGGUGGAGAAGCAGGCUGUGAUGGGAGGUAGAAAGUAGAACCAACAAAGUAGACACACCAAUCAAAUAUUCAAGUGACAUAACUAUACUAUUGAACUUGUUUUAAACAAGGAGCAGGUUGGGACAUGCAGUUGGCUACUCUUGUUUCUUUGUCAUUGCAGGCUGGUGGAGGAGACAUUUGGGACAGGAGGCAACAAGGAAAACCAGAGCGGGCAGGGCUCAGAAGUCGCUGGAUGGGAUGAGGAAAAGGAAGAAUUCCACACAUCAAGAAUAAAGUGAAACACAGAUGAGUUGUCUGAUCAUAAUCUAUCUGCAGGGUGGAUGUAAAGCGUAAACGAGAGGGGCCAGAGUGCGGAGCUUUGUGGUUUGCCUUGGUUGACAGUAAUGAUGGAAGGUGGUUGUUUGGUGUUCGCAAGGUCUCAUUUAUAAAGAGGGCAGGCAUGGAAAGUGUUUGUAGAGCUGAUGGGUGGACAUGGUUUGGUUUGUGUUCUUUGCGAAGGAAGGAAGGUUGAGAUGGUCUGCAGGUUGUUUGGCUCGUCUUGGUCCAGAGUCUCUUUGUUUGGAGUUGUGAACAGUGCAGCCUUUGAAUGAGGAAUUCAUAUCGAUCAGUAUAAUGUUUCAGGAUGACACAACAGGUACGCAGUCCCAAGAUAAACAUCUUUUUUCCUUGAGCAAUCCAGAACAAAGGUGGAAAUGCUGUGGAGUUUCAAGAGCAAAGCACCAACUUUACGGGGAGAGUAUAUCUUAGUUACUCUUAGUGUUUGUGUCCACUUCUUCACUAACUCACUGGGUGUGCACGGACUAACACCAUUUUUGUGUGUACUGAGAUGUGCAUCAUGUAAAGGCAACAAUGCUGAAACAUUGUGAUCAGUAAAAUGUACUUUUGAAAAAAUGUGUUUUUGUUUGUGUUGGGGGGUUUUGGAUGGAAUGGUGAAAGUUGUUCUCAAUAUGCUUUGACGACUUGAAUUAAAAUUCUAAAAAUAUUAGGAAGUGCGACUACAUGCACAAACAGAUGGGAGCCAGAUGGGACAAGGAAAAGAGACAAUCCAUCGAAUCAAGCAUCACACGAGUUGUCUGCAUAAUUUGUCUGAGGAGCAUGUAGAUGUUGAACAGGACUGGGCAGAGUAGUGAGCUUUGUGGCACACCUUGGUUGACGAUACCUAUGGGUGGUGAUUGUCAUGGUAAAAAGGUCUUUUAACGAGGGCAGGUGUGGAGAGUGUUCAUAGGGUUGAUGGCACAAAGAACCACUGGGAAUGACUGGCAGCUUUAACGUCUUGAGGAAAAUCUACAGUAAGUAAUAAGUAAAUACACACAAUGAUAUGAGCUAGCAAACAAGUAAUUGUACAGCGUCUUUUGCAGGGUGGAAGGUGCGCCGGAUGGGACGAAACGCAGAGCAAGGGUAACCAACAAAGUAGACACUCCAAUCAAUAUUGAACUAUACUAUUGAAUUUGUUUUAAACAAGAAUCAUGUUGGGACAUGCAGCAGGCUACUAUAGUUUGUUUGUCAUCACAGGCUGGAGGAGACAUUUGGGACAGGAAGCACCAAGGAGAAGCAGAGCGGGGGAAGAAGUACCAAGGUCCUAAGAAUAACUUUCUUCAGAGAAAUGGUGUUUGUUUUGUGGAGUGGAAGAGUUGUUCUGAUAAAAGGAAAGGCUGGCCAAAGGUAACAAAAUAUGUGGCACAACCUUUUUUCUUUUUUUUGCAGGGCUCAGAAGUAGCUGGAUGGGAUGAGGAAAAGGAACAAUUCCACACCAAGAAUAAAGCGGCACACAGAUGAGUUUUCUGUUCAUAAUUUAUCUGCAGGGUGGGUGUUAAGAGUAAACCGGAGAGGGCAGAGUACGGAGCUUUGCGGUUUGCUUUGGUUGACCGUAGCGAUGGAAGGUAGUUUGGCGAGGGCAGGCGUAGAACGUGUCGGUAGAGCUGAUGGAUACGUCUGUGCGGUAAAGUGGUCUCUUGCGAAGGAGGUUUUGAGACAGUCUGUAGCGUACAGUACAGGGUUUGAGGGAGGACUCCUGGUUGUAAUGAGGGCAAGCAUGGAAAGUGUCGGUUGAGCUGAUGGUUGGACGUGGUGGUUUGGUUCAGUGGUCUUUGCGAAGGAAGGAAGGUUGAGAUGGUCCGCAGGUCGUUUGGCCCGUCUCGGUCCAGAGUCUCUUUGUUUUGAGUUGUGAACAGUGCAGCCCUUCGAAUGAGGAAUUCAUAUCGAUCAAUACAAUGCUUCAGGAUGACUAUGCCACAACAGGUAAGCAGUUACAAGAUAAACCUGUUGUUACUUGAAGUGAGUGUACAAUUGUGUAUUAACAUAAAUGAAAACACAAACAAAUUUUUUGCAGCAAUCCAGAACAAAGAUGGAAAUGCUGUGCAGCUUCAAGAGACGAGCACCAACUUUACGGGGAGAGUAUAUCUUAGUUACUCUUAGUGUUUGUGUCCACUUGUUCACUAACUCACUGGGUGUGCACGGACUAACACCAUUUUUUUUGUGUGUGUACUGAGAUGUGAAACAUGUAAAGGCAACAAUGCUGAAACAUAUUAGUCAAUAAAAUGUACUUUUGAAAAAUGUUUUUUUUUUGUGUGUUGGGUUUUGGAGGGAAUGGUGAAAGUUAUAAAUUUGCUUUGACGACUUGAAUUAAAAUUAUAGAAAUGUUAGGAAGUGGGAAAGUUUUUGUUUGUAUUUUGGAGGGAAUGGUGAAAGUUCUAAACGUGGUUUGACGAAUUGAAUUAAAAUGAUGAUGUUAGGAAGUGGGACUUUUUGUACAAACAUUCACAAUGUAGAGUAAGCUUUAAAUACAGUGCAAGGCAGCCCCGCCCCCCAUUUAGGACUGACAUAAGUGCAGUAUUUUUUUUGUCCACCCUUAUUGCAUGGUGGAGAAGCAAGUAGGGAUAAUAAUAAGGGAAGGUUGACCAAAGGUAACAAAAGAGAGCAAAUAAGUGCCACAACAAUUUUUUUUCAUUUUUUUUUUCUUUGUUGCAGGGAAGAGCCAGAUGGGACAAGGACAAGAGACAAUCCAUCAAAUCAAGUAUCAUGCACGAGUUGUCUGCAUAAUCUGUCUAAGGAGCAUGUAAAUGUUGAACAGGAAGGGGCAGAGUAGUGAGAUUUGUGGCACAAAUUCUAAAAAUAUUAGGAAGUGCGACUACAUGCACAAACAGAUGGGAGCCAGAUGGGACAAGGAAAAGAGACAAUCCAUCGAAUCAAGCAUCACACGAGUUGUCUGCAUAAUUUGUCUGAGGAGCAUGUAGAUGUUGAACAGGACUGGGCAGAGUAGUGAGCUUUGUGGCACACCUUGGUUGACGAUACCUAUGGGUGGUGAUUGUCAUGGUAAAAAGGUCUUUUAACGAGGGCAGGUGUGGAGAGUGUUCAUAGGGUUGAUGGUUGGACAUGGUCGUGCAGUCAAGUGGUGUUUUUGCGAGGAUCUUGCUUAAUACGGGCCGGUAUUUGUUUGACUUUCCUGCAGCCAGGACAGCUUGUUGUUUUGAGGGAGGAGCAUAUUGAGCAAUAAACACAAAUGUACUCAUCUGGGGUCUUUUUUUUUUUUUUUUUUUUUUUUUCUGUCUUUGUUGUACAGUUGUCGCCAAGUGUUGAUUUUGUUUUUGUUGCAGGGCAGCAGGGAAGUGGGAUGAGUUGAGAGGCACAAAGAACCACUGGGAAUGACUGGCAGCUUUAACGUCUUGAGGAAAAUCUACACGUCUUUUGCAGGGUGGAAGGUGCGCCGGAUGGGACGAAACGCAGAGCAAGGGCUGGAGGAGACAUUUGGGACAGGAAGCACCAAGGAGAAGCAGAGCGGGGGAAGAAGUACCAAGGGCUCAGAAGUAGCUGGAUGCGAUGAGGAAAAGGAACAAUUCCACACCAAGAAUAAAGCGGCACACAGAUGAGUUUUCUGUUCAUAAUUUAUCUGCAGGGUGGAUGUAAAGAGUAAACCGGAGAGGGCAGAGUACGGAGCUUUGCGGUUUGCUUUGGUUGACCGUAGCGAUGGAAGGGAGUUUGGCGUUUGCGAGGGCAGGCGUAGAAAGUGUCGGUAGAGCUGAUGGAUACGUCGGUGCGGUUAAGUGGUCUCUUGCGAAGGAGGUUUUGAGACGGUCUGUAGCGUGCAGUACAGGGUUUGAGGGAGGAGUCCAUAUUGAGCAAUAAACACAAAUGUACUAACCUGGGGUCUUUUUUUGUAUGCUGGCCAGCUCCUUUGUGUAGUUUUGUUAAAUUGCAGUUUGCCUUGUUUGACUGUCGCUACGGAAGGGUAGUUUGGUGGCAGGUCUGGUUGUAAUGAGGGCAGGCAUGGAAAGUGUCGGUUGAGCUGAUGGUUGGACGUGGCGGUUUGGUUCAGUGGUCUUUGCGAAGGAAGGAAGGAAGGUUGAGAUGGUCCGCAGGUCGUUUGGCCCGUCUCGGUCCAGAGUCGCUUUGUUUUGAGUUGCGAACAGUGCAGCCCUUCGAAUGAGGAAUUCAUAUCGAUCAACACGAUGCUUCAGGAUGACUAUGCCACAACAGCAAUUCAGAACAAAGGUGGAAAUGCUGUGGAGCUUCAAGAGCAAAGCACCAACUUUACGGGGAGAGUAUAUCUUAGUUACUCUUAGUGUUUGUGUCCACUUCUUCACUAACUCACUGGGUGUGCACGGACUAACACCAUUUUUUUGUGUGUGUACUGAGAUGUGCAUCAUGUCAAGGCAACAAUGCUGAAACAUAGUCAACAAAAUGUACUUUUGAAAAAUGUUUUUUUUGUGUGUUGGGUUUUGGAGGGAAUGGUGAAAGUUAUAAAUUUGCUUUGACGACUUGAAUUAAAAUUAUAAAAAUGUUAGGAAGUGGGAAAGUUUUUGUUUGUAUUUUGGAGGGAAUGGUGAAAGUUGUUCUAAACGUGGUUUGACGAAUUGAAUUAAAAUGAUGAUGUUAGGAAGUGGGACUUUUUGUACAAACAUUCACAAUGUAGAGUAAGAUUUAAAUACAGUGCAAGGCAGCCCCCCCCCCCCCCCCCCCCCCCCCCAUUUAGGACUGACAUAAGUGCAGUAUUUUUUUUGUCCACCCUUAUUGCAUGGUGGAGAAGCAAGUAGGGAUAAUAAUAAGGGAAGGUUGACCAAAGGUAACAAAAGAGAGCAAAUAAGUGCCACAAUUUUUUUUCAUUUUUUUUUCUUUGUUGCAGGGAAGAGCCAGAUGGGACAAGGACAAGAGACAAUCCAUCAAAUCAAGUAUCACGCACGAGUUGUCUGCAUAAUCUGUCUGAGGAGCAUGUAAAUGUUGAACAGGAAGGGGCAGAGUAGUGAGAUUUGUGGCACACCUUGGUUGACGGUACCUAUGGGUGGUGAUUGUCAUGGUAAAAAGGUCUUUUCACGAGGGCAGGUGUGGAGAGUGUUCAUCGGUUUUAUUGAUGGUUGGACAUGGUCGUGCAGUCAAGUGGUGUUGGCAGGAUCUCGCUUAAUAGGGGCCGGUAUUUGUUUGACUUUUCUGCAGCCAGAACAGCUUGUUGUUUUGAGGGAGGAGCAUAUUGAGCAAUAAACACAAAUGUACUCAUCUGGGGUCUUUUUUAAAAAUUUUAUUUAUUUUUUUAAAUUUUUUUAUUUUUAUUUUCUUGUUGUACAGUUUUGUCGCCUAUUGUUGAUUUCUUUUUGUUGCAGGGCAGCAGUGAAGUGGGAUGAGUUGAGAGGCACAAAGAACCAGUGGGAAUGACUGGCAGCUUGAAUAUCUUGAAGAAAAUUUAAACAGGGUGGAAGGUACACCGGAUGGGAUGAAACGCAGGGCAAGGGCUGGUGGAGGAGACAUUUGGGACAGGAGGCAACAAGGAGAAGCAGAGCGGGGGAAGAAGUACCAAGGUCCCAAGAAAGACUUGUUUCAGAGGAAUGGGCUCAGAAGUAGCUGGAUGGGAUGAGGAAAAGGGACAAUUCCACACCAAGAAUAAAGCGGCACACAGAUGAGUUUUCUGUUCAUUUAUCUGCAGGGUGGAUGUAAAGAGUAAACGGAAGGGGGCAGAGUACGGAGCUUUGCGGUUUGCUUCGGUUGACCGUAGCGAUGGAAGGUAGUUUGGCGUUUGCGAGGGCAGGCGUCGAAAGUGUCGGUGGAGCUGAUGGAUACGUCGGUGCGGUUAAGUGGUCUCUUGCGAAGGAGGUUUUGAGAUGGUCUGUAGUGCGCAGUACAGCGUUUGAGGGAGGAGUCAAUAUUGAGCAAUAAACACAAAUGUACUAACCUGGGGUCUUUUUUUGUAUGCUGGCCAGCUCCUUUGUGUAGUUUUGUUAAAUUGCAGUUUGCCUUGUUUGACUGUCACUAUGGAAGGGUAGUUUGGUGGUAGGUCUGGUUGUAAUGAGGGCAGGCAUGGAAAGUGUCGGUUGAGCUGAUGGUUGGACGUGGUGGUUUGGUUCAGUGGUCUUUGCGAAGGAAGGAAGGUUGAGAUGGUCUGCAGGUUGUUUGGCCUGUCUCGGUCCAGAGUCGCUUUGUUUUGUGGAGCCCUUCGAAUGAGGAAUUCAUAUCAAUCAAUACAAUUCUUCAGGAUGACUACGCCACAACAGCAAUCCAGAACAAAGGUGGAAAUGCUGUGGAGCUUCAAGAUCCGAGCACCAACUUUACGGGGAGAGUAUAUCUUAGUUACUCUUAGUGUUUGUGUCCACUUCCUCACUAACUCACUGGGUGUGCACGGACUAACUGAUUUUAUUUUUUUUGUGUCAUGAGAUGUGCAUCAUGUCCAGGCAACAAUGCUGAAACAUACUAAUCAUUAAAAUGUACUUUUGAAAAAUGUUUUUUUGUAUUUUGGAGGGAAUGGUGAAAGUUGUUCUCAACGUGGUUUGACGAAUUGAAUUAAAAUGAUGAUGUUAGGAAGUGGGACUUUUUGUACAAACAUUCACAAUGUAGAGUAAGAUUGAAAUACAGUGCAAGGCAGCCCCCAUCCCACCCCCCCAUUGAGGACUGACAUAAGUGCAGUAUUUAUUUUCUCCCCCUUAUUGCAUGGUGGAGAAGCAAGUAGGGAUAAUAAUAAGGGAAGGUUGACCAAAGAUAACAAAAUAGGGCAAUUAAGUGGCACAACAAUUUUUUUUCAUUUUUUUUUUCUCUUUGUUGCAGGGAAGAGCCAGAUGGGACAAGAGACAAUCCAUCAAAUCAAGUAUCACACACUAGUUGUCUGCACUAUCUGUCUGAGGAGCAUGUAAAUGUUGAACAGGAAGGGGCAGAGUAGUGAGAUUUGUGGCACACCUUGGUUGACGAUACCUAUGGGUGAUUGUCAUAGUAAAAAGGUCUUUUUAACGAGGGCAGGUGUGGAGAGUGUUCAUCGGGUUGAUGGUUAUGACAUGGUCGUGCAGUCAAGUGGUGUUGGCAGGAUCUCGCUUAAUCUGGGCCGGUAUUUGUUUCUUUCCUGCAGCCAGAACAGCUUGUUGUUUUGAGGGAGGAGCAUAUUGAGCAAUAAACACAAAUGUACUCAUCUGGGGUCUUUUUUUGUUUUUUGUUUUGUUUUUGUUUGGGUUUUUUUGUUGGUCAUUGUUGUACAGUUUUGUCGCCUCGUGUUGAUUUUCUUUUUGUUGCAGGGCAGCAGUGAAGUGGGAUGAGUUGAGAGGCACAAAGAACCACUGGGAAUGACUGCCACCUUCAACAUCUUGAAAAUCUACAGGUGGAAGGUGCGCCGGAUGAGACGACGAGACGCAGAGCAAGGGUAACCAACAAAGUAGACACGCCAAUCAAAUAGUCAAGUUGAAGACCAACAAAUGUUCACACAUGACGUGCAGCUACAAGAGGAACAGUUGACUUGUCCUUUGAGUAUUCAGUGUGGGAGAAGAACCACCGUAUGGGGAAGUACAACUUAAUUACUGUAGUUAGUUUGUUUAUUGCAGGGAGGAGGAGGAAACAUUUGGGACAGAAGGCAACAAGGGGAACCAGAACAAGGGCUCUGGAACUGGAUGGGAUGAGGAAAAAGAAUUCCACAUCAAAUCGAGAGUAAAGCGGCACAAGAGUUGUUCAUAAUCUCAGAGGUGCAUGUAAAUGGUGAACAGGAGGGGGCAGAGUACUGAGCUUUGUUGUUUGUCUUGGUCAACCGUAGCAAUACAAGGUAGUUUUUUGGUGUUGGAAAAGUCUCAUUUGUAAAGAGGGCAGUCACAUGUAGAGCUGGUGGUUGGACGUGUUGAUGUGGUGUUUGCGCAGGAAGGAAGGUUGGAAGUGUUCCGUUGGUUUGGGUUGACUGGGUCCAGAGCAGCUCUUUUGUUUUGAGUUGCUAUGAAUGAGAAAUCCAUCUUUGGGGAAAAAAAUGGUGUACUGUGUGGUUUCAGGGUGAAGGAGGUGGUGGAUUGGGCAAGAGGAACCGCACCAGGGUCAUCAGUACAUAAACGGACAUCAAGAAAUUACCGGCACACGACUAAUAGCUUUUUCCGUUCCGAUCCAAGGACAAUGAGUCGGCUAGCACAAAAACCCAGGACUGCGGUGGAGUGGGAUGUGUUGAGCCGUACGAAGAGCCACAGGAUGACGGUAAUAAGUACACGUAUGUAAUGAAGUGACCAGCACACAAUUGUACUGCUUGCUUUGCAGGUUUGGAGAUGAGCUGGCUCAACGCCGUGCAAAGGGUGGAGGAGGAGACCUUUGAAACAGGAGGGACCAAGGAAAACCACAACGGGUGAAGACCAACAAAUGUACAAGAUGACCAGCUUCUUGUCCCUUGAGAACGAAGGUGGAAAUGCUGCACUGCUUAAAGAGCCAAGCACUCACCGGUACAGGGAGUAUGUCUUCGUUCCAUUGAGUGUUUCUGUCCACUUUCUCACCAACUCACUGGGUGUGCAUGAACUGACACAGUCGACUUGUGGUUUUUCUACUGAGCUCUGCGUCGUGGCGCCAAUGAUGAAACGUGUUUCAAUAAACUGUCCUUUUUAAAAUA